CCUACGGGUGGCAGCAGUCGAGAAUCAUUCACAAUGGGGGAAACCCUGAUGGUGCGACGCCGCGUGGGGGAAUGAAGGUCUUCGGAUUGUAAACCCCUGUCAUGUGGGAGCAAAUUAAAAAGAUAGUACCACAAGUGGAAGAGACGGCUAACUCUGUGCCAGCAGCCGCGGUAAUACAGAGGUAUCAAGCGUUGUUCGGAAUCUCUGGGCGUAAAGCGUGCGUAGGCUGUGUCGUACGUCGUGUGGGAAAUGCGCGGGGUCAACCCACGGACGGCAAAGGAUACUGCGAGACUAGAGUAAUGGAGGGGGAACCGGAAUUCUAGGUGUAGCAGUGAAAUGCGUAGAUAUCGAGAGGAACACUCGUGGCGAAGGCGGGUUCCUGGACAUUAACUGACGCUGAGGCACGAAGGCCAGGGGAGCGAAAGGGAUUAGAUACCCCAGUAGUC
rnacentral:rRNA from 1 species